UACGGAAUGUGCAAACGUUAUUCGGAAUCACUGGGCUUAAAGAGUCCGUAGGCGGCAUGUUAGGUGAGGUGUGAAAUCCCCCGGCUCAACCGAGGAAUUGCGCUUCAAACCGGCGUGCUUGAGGAAGAUAGAGGUGGGCGGAACUGAUGGUGGAGCGGUGAAAUGUGUUGAUAUCAUCAGGAACUCCGGUGGCGAAAGCGGCGCGCUGGACCUUAACUGACGCUGAGGCGCGAAAGCCAGGGGAGCGAACGGG
rnacentral:rRNA from 1 species